AGAUGACCAGUGAUAAAGUAUGGUAAACGCACCACUUAACAGAGACGAUUUCAGAGCUGAAAGAAAUUGGCGGUGUCCACCUGACUGCUUUUGAGGUCUGCGUGUCUAACACGCCGUUGGCUAACAACGUUAUGCUUAAGCAAAAAUUAAGGUGGUACCGUGCAUUCAAGCACCCUUGUU
rnacentral:misc_RNA from 1 species